rnacentral:lncRNA from 10 species
AGCCGAGAAGAUCUGGGAAGGAGUCAGAGAGCGUUCCCGGGGCUCUGGGAGUGGCUGCCAGUUCAUGGGACUGGAUAGUGAUUGACUUUUGAGUGGCCUUCCUCAAAGCAUGGUCUGAAGACCACUGCAUCAGGAUCACCAGAGCCUCUUGUUGAAAAUAAAAAAAAAACACCUCUGUUUGCAUCUGUAGACAAAGAUCUGUUCAGAAUGGUUGGCUUUGUGAGGUGCUGUGAGACAGAGAUGAAAAAGACAAUCUUCCAAGCCUUAGGAAAAAAAUAUUAACCAACCAUCUCUAGGAAAUUGCAAAAUAGUUUCUACUUUAUCAGGAUUUCCAAUUCCAGGUGAAUAGGAUAAAGAUGAUGGUCUUUGGAGGCAAAAAAAGUGUUACUGGGAAAGAAGUGAUAACCAGACACAUUCACAUCAUUAUGCACCAUCUCUGUUCUGAUAGAGAAGCCAAAAGCACAGGGCCAAUCCUUUGCUUAAGUUAUGAGCAUGACAUCUCCACUGAGCUCCAGACUUGUAUAUCCAACUGCCUACUCUCACCUCUACUUAGAUGUCUAAUAAACAUCUUGAUUUCAAUACAUUCCUGAUGGUUAACAUUAGGUAUCAACUUGACUGGAUUGAGGAAUGCCUAAAAGGCUGGUGAAUCAUUGUUCCUGGGUAUGUCUGUGAGGAUGUUUCGAGAGGAAAUUGACAUUUGAGUCAGCGGACUGAGAGAAGGAAGAUCCACCCUCAAUGUGUGUGGGCACCAUCCAAUCAGCUGCCAGCACAGCUAGAACAAAAGAG